GUUAUAGGAACAAGCGAAUAAGUGCACAUGGUGGAUGCCUUGGCGAUUACAGGCGAUGAAGGACGUAGUAGCUUGCGAUAAGCUGCGGGGAGCUGGCAAACGAGCUUUGAUCCGCAGAUUUCCGAAUGGGGAAACCCGGCCGUAAGGUCAUCGUUAUCUGAAUACAUAGGGUAACGAAGCGAACGUGGCGAACUGAAACAUCUAAGUAGCUACAGGAAAAGAAAUCAACCGAGAUUCCCAAAGUAGUGGCGAGCGAAAUGGGAUCAGCCUGCAAGAUUUAGCAUCAACGAUAGUAGAACGGAAUGGAAAGUCCGGCCAUAGUGGGUGAUAGCCCCGUAUGCGAAAUCGAUGGUGUGGAACUAGGCUUGCGACAAGUAGGGCGGGACACGUGAAAUCCUGUCUGAACAUGGGGGGACCAUCCUCCAAGGCUAAAUACUCGUAAUCGACCGAUAGUGAACCAGUACCGUGAGGGAAAGGCGAAAAGAACCCCGGAAGGGGAGUGAAAUAGAUCCUGAAACCGUGUGCAUACAAACAGUAGGAGCCCUGUAAGGGGUGACUGCGUACCUUUUGUAUAAUGGGUCAGCGACUUACAUUCAGUGGCAAGCUUAACCGAAUAGGGAAGGCGCAGAGAAAUCGAGUCCGAAUAGGGCGUUCAGUCGCUGGGUGUAGACCCGAAACCAAGUGAUCUAUCCAUGGCCAGGUUGAAGGUGCGGUAACACGCACUGGAGGACCGAACCCACUAAUGUUGAAAAAUUAGGGGAUGAGCUGUGGAUAGGGGUGAAAGGCUAAACAAACUUGGAAAUAGCUGGUUCUCUCCGAAAACUAUUUAGGUAGUGCCUCAAGUAUCACCAUCGGGGGUAGAGCACUGUUAUGGCUAGGGGGUCAUCGCGACUUACCAAACCAUUGCAAACUCCGAAUACCGAUGAGUGCGAGCUUGGGAGACAGACGCCGGGUGCUAACGUCCGACGUCAAGAGGGAAACAACCCAGACCGCCAGCUAAGGUCCCAAAGAUUGGCUAAGUGGAAAACGAAGUGGGAAGGCUAAAACAGUCAGGAGGUUGGCUUAGAAGCAGCCAUCCUUUAAAGAAAGCGUAAUAGCUCACUGAUCGAGUCGUCCUGCGCGGAAGAUGUAACGGGGCUAAGCCAGUCACCGAAGCUGCGGAUAUCCGUAAGGAUAUGGUAGGAGAGCGUUCUGUAAGCCUGUGAAGGUGUCUUGUAAAGGAUGCUGGAGGUAUCAGAAGUGCGAAUGCUGACAUGAGUAGCGAUAAUGCGGGUGAAAAGCCCGCACGCCGUAAGCCCAAGGUUUCCUGUUCAACGUUCAUCGGAGCAGGGUGAGUCGGCCCCUAAGGCGAGGCAGAGAUGCGUAGCUGAUGGGAAGCAGGUUAAUAUUCCUGCACCGUCGUUAGAUGCGAUGGGGGGACGGAUCGCGGAAGGUUGUCCGAACUNNNNNNNNNNNNNNNNNNNNNNNNNNNNNNNNNNNNNNNNNNNNNNNNNNNNNNNNNNNNNNNNNNNNNNNNNNNNNNNNNNNNNNNNNNNNNNUACAUCGAAGAAGGCUGUUAGGCAAAUCCGGCAGCGUAAUUCAAGGGUGUGAGACGAGCGAACUUGUUCGCGAAGCAAUCGGAAGUGGUUCCAAGAAAAGCCUCUAAGCUUCAGUCUAACGAGACCGUACCGCAAACCGACACAGGUGGGCGAGAUGAGUAUUCUAAGGCGCUUGAGAGAACUCGGGAGAAGGAACUCGGCAAAUUGGUACCGUAACUUCGGGAUAAGGUACGCCCAAGUAGUUUGACUGGCCUGCGCCAGAAGGACAAAAGGGUUGCAAUAAAAUGGUGGCUGCGACUGUUUAAUAAAAACACAGCACUCUGCAAACACGAAAGUGGACGUAUAGGGUGUGACGCCUGCCCGGUGCUGGAAGAUUAAAUGAUGGGGUGCAAGCUCUUGAUUGAAGUCCCAGUAAACGGCGGCCGUAACUAUAACGGUCCUAAGGUAGCGAAAUUCCUUGUCGGGUAAGUUCCGACCUGCACGAAUGGCGUAACGAUGGCCACACUGUCUCCUCCCGAGACUCAGCGAAGUUGAAAUGUUUGUGAUGAUGCAAUCUACCCGCGGCUAGACGGAAAGACCCCAUGAACCUUUACUGUAGCUUUGCAUUGGACUUUGAACCAAUCUGUGUAGGAUAGGUGGGAGGCUUUGAAGCAGGAACGCUAGUUUCUGUGGAGCCGACCUUGAAAUACCACCCUGGUUUGUUUGAGGUUCUAACCUUGGUCCGUUAUCCGGAUCGGGGACAGUGCAUGGUAGGCAGUUUGACUGGGGCGGUCUCCUCCCAAAGUGUAACGGAGGAGUUCGAAGGUACGCUAGGUACGGUCGGACAUCGUGCUAAUAGUGCAAUGGCAUAAGCGUGCUUAACUGCGAGACUGACAAGUCGAGCAGGUACGAAAGUAGGACAUAGUGAUCCGGUGGUUCUGUAUGGAAGGGCCAUCGCUCAACGGAUAAAAGGUACUCUGGGGAUAACAGGCUGAUUCCUCCCAAGAGUUCAUAUCGACGGGGGAGUUUGGCACCUCGAUGUCGGCUCAUCACAUCCUGGGGCUGUAGCCGGUCCCAAGGGUAUGGCUGUUCGCCAUUUAAAGUGGUACGUGAGCUGGGUUUAAAACGUCGUGAGACAGUUUGGUCCCUAUCUGCCGUGGGCGUUGGAAGUUUGAAGGGGGCUGCUCCUAGUACGAGAGGACCGGAGUGGACGAACCUCUGGUGUAUCGGUUGUCACGCCAGUGGCAUUGCCGAGUAGCUAAGUUCGGAAGAGAUAACCGCUGAAAGCAUCUAAGCGGGAAACUCGCCUUGAGAUGAGACUUCCCGGGAACUAGAUUCCCCUAAAGGGUCGUUCGAGACCAGGACGUUGAUAGGUCAGGUGUGGAAGCGCAGUAAUGCGUUAAGCUAACUGAUACUAAUUGCCCGUGCGGCUUGUUCCUAUAACAUUAGC
rnacentral:rRNA from 1 species